UACGAAGGGGGCUAGCGUUGUUCGGAAUUACUGGGCGUAAAGCGCGUGUAGGCGGGUCUUUAAGUCAGGGGUGAAAUGCCAAGGCUCAACCUUGGAACUGCCUUUGAUACUGGAGAUCUUGAGUCCGGGAGAGGUGAGUGGAAUUGCGAGUGUAGAGGUGAAAUUCGUAGAUAUUCGCAAGAACACCAGUGGCGAAGGCGGCUCACUGGCCCGAUACUGACGCUGAGGUGCGAAAGCGUGGGGAGCAAACAGGGAUUAAGAAACCCUA
rnacentral:rRNA from 1 species